UUUUUUUUUUUUUUUUUUUUUAAAGUAGACGUGUUAGAAGCCAGACUGAUCCAGCUCCUGAAAAGGAUAAUUAAAGCCACCAGUAAGUCAACUGAAAACGUGCUGACUGGCUAAGCAUUAGCAAAUCACAAAUACAGAUUGUGGAUGGGAGAGGCAGACAGGGCAAGCAGGUGGUAAGAAAGGAAUCUGAAGGAUAUUAAGAUAACUCCCAAAGUAAAUAAGUUAAAAAUCACAAAUUCAUGCCCCAAUUCCUGAACCAGGUGCUCCCUCAGCCACCAUCACCUGACUUGGACCCACCUCACCAAGCCCAGAGCCCAUGCUCAUGGGAACCUUGCAGGGACCCUUACACACUGUUGACAUUCUGAACAAAUUUUGUACUUUGCAACCUCUGUGCUUUUGCUGUAGCCAUUUUCUUUCCCUAGAAUGCCUGCUCAAAGCCCAAAUCUCAAAUUCAGACCUCUAAAGACCACUUUCUCUAUAAAGCUAUCCCUACUCACUGAACUUCCAAAGUUCUUUGUACAUCACUGUGGAACCUAAUAUAGAUAGGCUUCUAGUUACUCAUGUCUAUGUUGGGUUUUUUUAGUCAUUCCUGCUAGAAUGUCAGAGCCUGAAGUCACAGGUCAUGAAUGAUUCAACCUUAGGUCUUUCCAAGGCUAGCACCAGGCCUUGGCCAAUGAUAGUAGUGGACUAGUUCAUGAAAAUGUUCUCUCAUCUACUCCUGACCACAAAACCAGGAGGCAGAGAUGUGGAGAGACCUUCCCCCCACCCCGACUUUCCCCAUACCAGGUGGUCUCUUAUCUGGGCCUCCCCUUCUUUUCCCCAAAAGACCAGAUGAUGGUCAAAAUUCUAGGAAAAUCGAUGGUUCUGAUCUAUGAGGCAUGGCCCAGGCAGUUGCUGAAACUUCCCAGCUCCUUCCCUCCCAGCUUCCGCACAGGCACACAGUCCACAAACACUGACACAGAGCCGAGAGAAGGAUUGGCGCCCUGGAAGACAUGUUGACAUUGGCCCAGCUCUAAUUACAGCUCUAACAGCCAGAGCCAUGCCUGGUAGACAAACCAAACCAGAGGCACAUUAAGUUCUGCCCCAGCUGGCUCCCAAUCAUGGGACGGCUCACAUCCGCGUGCUCGAAGGGGCCCUGCGAACCUCUGUUGCCGGAGGAAUGCACCCAGCCCUGACUCUCUCAUUUUUAAUUAGAAGUUCCCAUUAAAACCACUACAGCAAUGAGACACACACCAGGCAGCAUACUUCAGGACAAUUAGCACACUCCUCAGGUGGCUAAAAUGGCCUGGCCCUGGCCUGGGGCCGACAUAAUUGCACCAGAACAUACAGCCUACCAGGAGGUUGCCAUUUUAAGUGGAAAGAAACAAUUAGUCACACAGUCUAUUGGGCAGUUAGAUCUGUAGGAAAUUAUUCAGUAUACAUAAUUUAAAAGUUUGCCAUGGGUUAAGAUAGACAGAAAUCAUCCCUUGCCUAUGGCUAACUGGGACCAUAAGCAAAUUUCUUUCCCUGUCCCCCGCCCCCAUCCC
rnacentral:lncRNA from 1 species